AUCUUUUUGUAGCUCAUAAGCAUGAUGAUUGGGUUUUCACAUUGGCUAGGUGAAAUGUGCCAAACCUUGUUAUGAUGUCAGUGUGUUACCCGCCUGAUA
ensembl:snoRNA